GCACAGGCCAUUCCUUGGCCAACCGCGGUCCGGCCGAGGGGGAGGGCGCGGCCGAUAUUUUGCGCGGGUCCACGCGGGAGAGGAGGGGCGCGAGGCCGGGGCAGAGAGGAGGCUGGAAAGAGCAAGCACUGCACGGCGCGGAGGAGCGCAAACUCGCUGACAAAGGAAGGGGAAGGUUAAAGAGAAAAGGAGCACUGCUAAGCAGCGCAGACUAAAAUAAAGUAAGUGGGCGGCAGCGGCAACGGAACUACACGAGCGUCCCCUAAGCUUAAGCUGCUGAACAGAGAGGAGGCGAAGGCACGCUCAAGCCCUUCGCUAGCUAGCCCCCUAAGUAGGCAAACCAAACGCUCAGAUAGAGUCUUAGACAAAGCGCACAGGCGAAGACAAACGUUGACACCUAGUACACAAAGAGCAGCACAAGCGUAGGCGCGCACGUCCAACUUCCUAGCACGCACCAAAAACCUUAACCCCGAAUUAAUACCUCGGCCUCCGGCUCCGUUCCAGUCAAAGGGCACGAGCAAGUCUAGCGAAGGAACCAAGGCAGUGGACGCAAGCAGGCACUAAGGUCUAAACUUUACUUAUACCGGGCACACUAGAAGACCAAGGGGCUCCCGACACCAAAUAAGGCACAGUAGGCAAUCACGCCCCACACAAUUAAGCUCCGGGAGCACCUCCUAAGAACAACAUGGCCGACUAGAGCCAAAACCAUACAGAAACAGGAGAGUGGGAUACAUCUACGUCUCCUUCGGUCUCCCACGCGAUCAAGAUGUCUCCACCUCCAAACUAGAGAAGAGUACUAAUAAAACUAAGUAACCAACUCCAAGUCGCCGACAGGACUAUACCAGUCUAGAAGAGCCCACUACUUCGAAUCCUAGAGAAUGGUUGGACUUGGACGCUAGGCGCAAAUUAUAAAUAUUUAGGGAGGGUUAAAAUCAAAGAACCAGACGUGUGAUCAGUUGCCGUUAAGACUAGACUUAAGCAACCAAGAGGUCCUUAAUAUUAAACCUAAUGUGUCGUAUCGUCCUCGGCCCUCGUUGUAGACGCAAACCUACUAAUUAACGGGGGAGAUAAAUUAAGGAGGUAGAUGUGUCAAGUUAGAAUCAGCCAAAACUAAAUCUAAACAACUACCAACAGGUCUUCAACCCUAAUAUGCCGAAUCGCCCUCGCUGAACAGUAGAAGGAGUGGACACAAACCUGCUAGUAAGGGAAAGACAAGUAAAAGAAAAGAGGUGUCAAGUCAAUCAGAAGUGUGUUGUGUGUUAAGACUAAACCUAAAACAUAAACAACGACCAUGAGGUCUAUAACCUUAAUAUGCCGAAUCGCCCACCGGGAUAAAAGGGAGCAGUGCCGCCAAGAAGACACCGAGCUGUAAAAGAAUGAGCAGUUAUUAUAUUAACCUUGUAUGGUCUGUUCAAAGAGACGGAAUCAAACAGUAAGAGUCGAGAACGUCUGUGGUAGAACCUUCCCUAUAUUAAACUUAGCCACAACACGACAGAUGGACUGGAAGGGUCGGGUUGAAGGAGUAUAUCGUAAAUGGAGAAGGAGCAAACUUCGUACGAAGUCAACUCGGAUCAAAGGGGGAUUAAAUGUCUCUGCAUAGAACGAGCAACGUCCAAACUGCUUACGUUCAGGUUGGACUACGACUCAACUUAGACAAACGUCAAGAAAGAUUUAGAUUAGUUAAGUAAUAAUGAAUCUAUUGGAAAUUCUAGAAGAGUGAUCCGUUAUAAAACUUAAGUCUAAAUAGAGUUUCCAAGUGCUUACCUCGAAGUUUGAACCGUUUUGGAUGUUUGUUUUUUCUCUGAGGAGGUAAAAAUUGAGAACGGAGAAAAAGAAAUAUAGUGCAUCGAUGAAACAAGUACGGAAACUAAAUCCGAAAAAACGAAGACGGGGACACUAACGUCUAAAUAAAAUCGGGUCUCUCACAACCGUCACUCAGCUUUAGACAAUUUUAGCAAACCAAACGUUAGAUAGAGAUACGCAAAGUUAAACAAUAGACAUGUGAAUAGGACAGCUGACGUCCGGUAUAAAUCCUUCAAACACGAAUACCCGUUUAGAGAAAUGUCACUCAGUCCAGUCACAAGAUAGUUGCCAAACAAACCAAAUCAACACAAGGAGGUGUGUAACCAACGUCCUAACCUAGACCUUACACCUCUAGGGAUACUACAACAUACAGCCUUCCCCUAAACUCGUCCAGUCUAAAUUUACCGAUAGCGGCCACACCAGAAGACCAAGAGUAGUGCGUAGUAGUCGAUUAUACUCCACCUAACCUCCAGGACCAUCUAAGAAUAACAUCGUCGACUAGCGUGAGAACCACACACAAACACGAGGAAACGAACGUCGUCUACGUCCUCACAUCAUCAAGACGUGUCUACUUAGUAUCCCACCUCCAAACCAAAGACAAACAGCAAAACUAACUAACCUAUUACUUCGAAUCCUAAGAACGGUUGGACUUUGAACACUAGACGUAAACCUAUUACUUAAAGUAGAGCUAAGUUAAAUAAACCAGACACGUCAUGUUAAAUCAGGAACCGUCAAGACUUAGGUAAACACCAAAAGGUCUUUAACUCGAAUUGUUCCAAAUCGUCCUCGUUGGAUAGAAGAACAACUAGUCACAAACCUACUAAUACUUGGGGGAUAUAAAUUCAGAGACGUGUUAAGUUGAAAUCAGGGGGUGUCAAACUAAACCUAGACAACGACCAACAGGUUUAUAACCCUAAUAUACCGAAUCGCCCUCACUGGAUAGAAGAACGACUGGACGCAAACCUACUAGUAAUGAGAGACGAAUUAAAGAAGAGUCGAGUUAAUCAACAGGUUGUUAAGACUAAAUCUAAACAACGACCAAGAGGUCUUUAACCUUAAUAUGCCGAAUCGCCCACUAGGAUACAAAGGAGUCGUACCGCCAAGAAAGACACCGGGUUGUAUAGACUGGAAAACAGGAGGGAACUAUUAACUUGAAAGAUCUAUAAACAAAGAAUCGGAAGGAACCAUUAAGAACCGAGAACGUCUACGACCGAACCUUGGCUUUAUUAACCUUGGUCACAACAGAUAGACUGGAAGCACCGGCUCUGUCCGAAUGAAUGGGAAAUGGAGAAUGAAUUGGAAGUGGAGUCGUAAACUACGUACGAAAUCGACUCGGAUCAAAAGGAGGAUAGAAUAUCUUUCCAUAGAAGGAACAACGUCCAGCAUCAACUACUUGAGUUCAGCUUGGACCACGACUCAACUUAGACAAACGUCAAGAAGAUUUAGAUGAUAAAGGAGUUCAGUAGUAUUGAAUCUAUUGGAAAUUUUAGUAGAAUGGUCCUUUAUAAAACUUAUGUCUAGACGUUUCCAAGUUGUUUCCUCUUAGUUUGAUUACCUUGUAGGAUGUUACUUUUUCUGAUAAAAUUGGGUGGAGAAUGAAAAAACAAAGUGCAUCGAUGAACGAACACAGAAAUUAAAUACAAAAAGAAAGAUGGGAGGGAAACCACAAACGUCUAACUCGGGUUUGGUACGACCAACACUCAGCCUUAGACAAUUUAGUAAACCAAACGCCAGAUAGAGAGAAAGACCUACCUAAACAACAAACAUGAGAACUAGGGACACGACCAGAAGACGCACAAUAGUCAACGUCCUAUAUAAAUCCUUCAGACCCGGCGUCCUAUAAAAACCUAUACAACCAAGAGGUCUUUAACCUUAAUAUACCGAAUCGCCUCUCUGUGUAGAACGAGACGAAACGCAAACCUAUUAAUAGUGAGGGAGACAAAACGAGAAAGCAGAGGUGACAAGACAAAACCAAAGGGUGUUAAGAUUAAACUUGAUAAACAACCACCGAGAGGUCUUUAACCUUAUUAUGCGGAAUCUUCCGCCAGGAUAAAACGUAGCACCGUCAAGGAAGAUACCGAUUUUGAAAAGUUGGAAAAAUGAGAUAUUAACUUGAGAGAUCUGGAAUCCAAAAGAAACGGAACCAUUAAGAGUCGAGAACGUCUAUGGCUGAACCUUUCCUUAGACGUCAAACCUUGACCGCAACAACAGCAGGUAGUAGGUAUGGACUGGGAUCUGUCCGAAAAUGAACAAGGGCGAGUAGCAAAAUAGGUACGAAAUCGAUAAAUAUAUAUUCGUCGUAAAGGGGAUUGGUUUUUAAAUAUCUUUUCCGGAGAACGAGCGACGUCCAACAUCAACUUCUUGAGGAAAGGUUGGGCUAAGUAUACGUUUUGUUUAUAUUCCUAUUAGGUCUCGAAAGUUGAUUACCGUGUAGGAUGUUGGCUUCUUCUGAGAAUGGAAGGAUAAAAGAAAUAAAGUAAAUAAUCAAUGAACCGGUAGCGAAACUAUAUCCAAAAACGGGGACGGGAAGGAUACCAACGUCUAACAAGAAAUCGGGUCCGGUACACCCGUCACUGAUCGAGGGGUACCAACAAUAGACAUGAGAACUAGGGACACGAGAGAUCCAGAAGACACUCACACCCAACCGUUCUAUAUUAUCAAUCCUCAAACCCGGGUUUGGCGAGACAUGUACCUCAGUCCAGUCUAAGAACAUCUGUCAGACAAACAAAUUAAACAAUACCAGAGAUGUUAAAUCGAACGUCCUGACCUAGAGCUAGACCAGACCUUUACUUCGAAGUAUACCACACACUUGUAUACCACUUCCCAUGAACUCCGUCCAGUCAAAGGGUACAAACCAGUGUAACUAAACGACCUAAGGAGUAGACACGAACCACUGCAGUCUAAACUCACCGAUAUGGAAUCAAGGAACUAAAUACAAACAGACUACCGACAAACCCUCGAAGCAAGACCUACCUCCUUAGAAGGAGCUGGUGUUUUAUUUUUGAAUUUGGACCUGAGCUACGAACAAAGUUGACUAAAGGGUCUAAAAUAAUACCAGACUAAAAGGAACUUCUUUGAUAUUCAUACGGACAGUAAACCCGGCAAGUAACUAAACGUAAUAACUUCAAAAAUAACGUUCUAACAUCUCAACCCAUCAGUCAGUCGCGACCCUGAACCACUUUCGUUUGCCCGAAGGGACUACCAAAACUGAAGACUAAUCACUAGGACUUCGUAUUACUAUACCAGAAACACCAUCAAAAGUCAAACUUGAACGUAAGUCACCGGAGUAUAGAAACCACGUCGAACCUCAACCAUCACACGUGUAGACUAAGAAAGUUGACAGGACUUCGUAGAAUGAACCAAAGACAAGACGGUAGAAUGACCAAUGCCAUAGAAGAAGUUGAACGUACACCAAACCUACCUUAUACUAGAGUAGAAGACGAACUUAGUUCUUUUACGAUCUUCAGAGUUUGUUCCCAGGCUUUACCUUUAUAGUCAAGCAUGAGUCAAACAUAUCUUCUAAUAGCUUCAAACUAAACUGAUAUUUAAUGGACCAAUGGUAUGACAAAGUCCUUCAAACCAAAACUAUAAACCGACGAACAUAGAAAGCUGAACGUUUAAAUAGUGGGUUAUCCUUCAUUUCUAGCAUACAUGUACUCGAGACUUACGUCAUUUUUACAAUUACGUAUAUAUAUAUAUACUUAACCAGUAUGAACCUAAACAAGAUGUAUGACAACAGGUACUAACGUGAACCAAACAAAUACAUAUAUUAAAAUAUAUAUAUGUGCAACAAAUCCAAGUAGAAUACUGUGUUUUAGUUGAAAACCACACGAGUAUAAAAAAUGAAACCACUAUUUCUUUCUAGGGUGCGAGCGUGAACACAACCAACCGGAGGACAUCAACCCAUACGUCUUUCUCCAAAUCCUCAAUAACGAUAUAUAUGAUUUUGAAACCUAUCAACCUUCAAAGACUCGAACCUUCGAACUUGUUUAUAAAACGGGACUUGUACAAGUGACUUAUACUAAGACGAAACAACCAUACCUCAACUAAAAGUCUUCACUACAAUAAGAGUAACCAUGAAGAGGUCACUCUAGACCUAAGAAGUUACGUAGAAGAGCCAAACCAAUUUAACUGUGGAUCGUCUUGUCAGACCGAUUAAACUACUAAGGACUUGUGUGACCGAUUAAACUCCUACUUAGGACGACUAAUGAAAGUUGUAUACCGUCAAACAAAACAUGAAGUAGGACCUAAAUUUCAGUGUUUCGCGAGUGUGUAGAGAUGCCAGGAGGUUACCGAUUAAACUAGAGAAAUGCGUUUGACGAUUAAACUAGACCUAAUACCUUA
rnacentral:rRNA from 1 species